CCGCCAGAGAACUACAAGUGAAAAACUUAAAACUCAAAGGACUUGACGGUGCCCCACAUCGGCCUAGAGGAGCCUGUCCUGUAAUCGAUACUCCCCGCUCCACCCGACCUUAACUAGUACAUAUACCAGCCUAUAUACCGCCGUCGAUCAGUCUACCCCAUGAGGGUCCAACAGUAGACACAAUAGCCAAGUCGCUAGUACGUCAGGUCAAGGUGUAGCAAAUGUUAAGGAAGAGAUUGGCUACAUUUUUUAUGAUAAAAAACACGAAUAACACCAUGAAACAGUGCAUGAAGGUGAAUUUAGUAGUAAAAC
rnacentral:rRNA from 1 species